AUUGAACGCUGGCGGCAGGCCUAACACAUGCAAGUAGAACGAGUGGCGGACGGGUGAGUAAUGUCUGGGAAACUGCCCGAUGGAGGGGGAUAACUACUGGAAACGGUAGCUAAUAACGCGUACCAUCGGAUAUGCCCAGAUGGGAUUAGCUUGUAGGUGAGGGAACGGCUCACCUAGGCGACGAUCCCUAGCUGGUAUGAGAGGAGGCCCAGCCACACUGGAACUGAGACACGGUCCAGACUCCGACGGGACGCAGCAGUGGGGAAUAUGGCGCAAUGGGCGCAAGCCUGAUGCAGCCAUGGCGCGUGUAUGAAGAAGUCCUUCGGGUUGUAAAGUACUUUCAGCGGGGAGGCGUUACCCGCAGAAGAAGCACCGGCUAACUCCGUGCCAGCAGCCGCGGUAAUUC
rnacentral:rRNA from 1 species